GUUUGUUUGGAGUUAUAAAGAAUUUGACCUGCCCCCUGAAAUUAGAAAAGUUAAAGGGCCGCAGUAUUCUAACUGUGCAAAGGUAGCAUAAUCAUUAGGUUUUUAAUUGAAAUCUUGUAUGAACGGUUGGACAAAAGGAAAGCUCUCUUUAUAUUAAAUUUGAAUUUAACUUUUAAGUGAAAAGGCUUAAAUAAUCUAAAGGGACGAUAAGACCCUAUAAAACUUUACAUUAUAAUCGCAUUUUAAUUGAAUUUACAGAUAAAAGUUUAUUUUGAUUAUUUGUUGUGUUGGGGAGACAUAAGUAAAAAUUUUUUUUAACUGCUUAAUAAUUAAAACAAUUAUAAGUGGAAAAUAGAAGAUCCUUUUUUAAGAAUAAUAAACUAAGUUACUUUAGGGAUAACAGCGUAAUUCUUUUUGAGAGUUCUUAUCGAAAGGAGAGAUUGCGACCUCGAUGUUGAAUUAAAAUAUCUUUAUAAUGUAGAAGUUAUAUAAGAAGGUCUGUUCGACCUUUAAAAUUUUACAUGAUUUGAGUUCAAACCGGCGUGAG
rnacentral:rRNA from 1 species